UUUUUCGUAGUGUAGUGGUUAUCACGUGCGCUUUACACGCGCAAGGUCCCCAGUUCAAUUCUGGGCGUAAACA
rnacentral:tRNA from 1 species